rnacentral:pre_miRNA from 1 species
GUAAUAUUAGCCUCAUUCUAUGGGUUGUUAUGAUGCAAUAUCAUCACAACCUCCAUGAACGAGGGUAAUCGACA